CGGGGCGUGGCGCAGUCCGGUAGCGUGCUUGAAUGGGGUUCAAGAGGUCGGCGGUUCGAAUCCGCCCGCCCCGA
rnacentral:tRNA from 1 species